AACGAACGCUGGCGGCAGGCCUAAUACAUGCAAGUCGAGCGCUCUAGCAAUAGAGAGCGGCGCACGGGUGCGUAACGCGUGGGAAUGUACCUCUAGGUGCGGAACAACGUCGGGAAACUGACGCUAAUACCGCAUAAUAUCUCCGGAUCAAAGAUUUAUCGCCUAGGGAUCAGCCCGCGUUGGAUUAGCUAGUUGGUGAGGUAAUGGCUCACCAAGGCGACGAUCCAUAGCUGGUCUGAGAGGAUGAUCAGCCACACUGGAACUGAGACACGGUUCAGACUCCUACGGGAGGCAGCAGUGGGGAAUAUUGGACAAUGGGCGAAAGCCUGAUCCAGCCACGCCGCGUGGGUGAUGAAGGCCUCGGUUGUAAGACCUCGUCGGAGGGACGGAAGUCAAUGACGGUACCGUCCCAACGAAA
rnacentral:rRNA from 1 species